AGCAUUUCUCUGCCUUAUAGCUAAGAUCAAGUGUAGUAUCUGUUUUUAUCAGUUUAAUAUCAGAUAUAUUCCUUAUCUGCAAACCAUGUAUUAAUUAGAUUUUUGAGACAGAUAUGGCAUAGUAGUUCGCUUGGUCCAAUCUACAGACUGACUUCAUGUUGCAGUACUUUUAGAAAGAGAGUACCUUUU